rnacentral:rRNA from 1 species
AAUAAGCACCGGCUAACUACGUGCCAGCAGCCGCGGUAAUACGUAGGGUGCAAGCGUUAAUCGGAAUUACUGGGCGUAAAGCGUACGCAGGCGGCUUUGCAAGACAGGUGUGAAAUCCCCGGGCCUAACCUGGGAACUGCAUUUGUGACUGCAUAGCUAGAGUCUGUCAGAGGGGGGUGGAAUUCCACGUGUAGCAGUGAAAUGCGUAGAGAUGUGGAAGAACACCGAUGGCGAAGGCAGCCCCCUGGGAUGAGACUGACGCUCAUGUACGAAAGCGUGGGGAGCAAACAGGAUUAGAUACCCUGGUAGUCCACGCCCUAAACGAUGUCUACUAGUUGUCGGAGGGUAACUCCUUCGGUAACGCAGCUAACGCGUGAAGUAGACCGCCUGGGGAGUACGGUCGCAAGAUUAAAACUCAAAGGAAUUGACGG